GUAGGUGGCAAGCGUUGUCCGGAAUUAUUGGGCGUAAAGCGCGCGCAGGUGGUUCUUUAAGUCUGAUGUGAAAGCCCCCGGGCUCAACCGGGGGAGGGUCAUUGGAAACUGGGGAACUUGAGUGCAGGAGAGGAAAGUGGAAUUCCACGUGUAGCGGUGAAAUGCGUAGAUAUGUGGAGGAACACCAGUGGCGAAGGCGACUCUCUGGCCUGUAACUGACACUGAGGCGCGAAAGCGUGGGGAGCAAACAGGAUUAGAUACCCUGGUAGUCCACGCCGUAAACGAUGAGUGCUAAGUGUUGGGGGGUUUCCGCCCCUCAGUGCUGCAGCUAACGCAUUAAGCACUCCGCCUGGGGAGUGCGGUCGCAAGACUG
rnacentral:rRNA from 1 species